rnacentral:rRNA from 1 species
UACAGAGGAGCCAAGCGUUGUCCGGAUUGACUGGGCGUAAAGCGCACGCAGGCGGACGCGCGCGUGGGGUGUGAAAUCUGGCCGCUUAACGGCCAGGCGCCAUCCCAUACGGCGCGUCUGGAGCAAUGCAGAGGUCGGUGGAAUUGCCGGUGUAGUGGUGAAAUGCGUAGAUAUCGAGAGGAACACCUGCGGCGAAGGCGGGUAGCUGGGCCGACACUGACGCUGAGGCGCGAAAGCCAGGGGAGCGAACGGG